rnacentral:lncRNA from 10 species
CAGAUGCAGAGCCCCAGACAGGCACAUGCAGGUCUCACGGCAAACUGGGAAGCUGCGUGACCACAGUGUUGGAAAAUGGAAUCAGGCUACACGUGCUCUUGUGGGAAUCCCACGGCAGCGUCCCCAUGAGGAGGCAGGGGCCCACCAUCACCGGCUGCACCUCUGACCUUCGAUGACCUUGGGGGCCAGGUGUCACGGUCACCCUGCACACGUGGGUUCCCUCAGCUGCUCUCAGGAACAAGAGAAUGAACCUGUCACCUCCUCUCCCGCUUGAAGGACAGCACCAUUUAUUGUUUACUGUGGGCUGAGACAGCUGGGGAUUCCUCACUGCGAUGGAGCCGACAUGCAAUAUUGAGGCAAAGAUGGCAGGGAGGUGGGGGGCAGCGCAGAGGAGAAGAGGAGAGAGCCCUCCCACAGCAGGCCUCCCUCUGGGCAGGCUGAGCUUUGCCACUAGCAAGCCCCGCCGGUGCCGGGGAAGGGGAGAAGACACAGGACCUGGAGGGAGGCCUUGGUGAAUUGAGCCUUGGCUUUGCUGGGUGACCCAGGCUUGGUCCCUGGAUGCCUCUGAGCUGUUGCUGGAACGUGACCUCCCACCUCCCACGAUAGAAGAAAAGUGGUCUGGACAAAGGAGGCUGCAAUGGACUGAAUGUUGUAUUCCUCCCCAGUUCACAGGCUGAACCCCUAAUCCCAAGGUGAUGGGAUUUGGAGGCAGGACCUUUGGGAGGAAUUAGGUCAUGAGGGUGGAGCCCUUGUGAUGAGAUUAGUGCCCUGGUAAGAAGAGGCCAGAGAGCUGGCUAGCUCUUUUUCUGCCACGUGAAGAUAACGAGAAGGCAGCCACCUGUAAACUAGGAAGACAGCCCUCACCAGAACCUGACCUUGCUGGAACCUUGAUGUUGGACUUUCAAACCCCAGAGCUAUGAGAAAUAAAUGUCUG